CUGAGGAAACCUCAAAUGAAAAAGGCAAAUCAAAUGAGACAUCUCUUGAGGAUUCAGCUGAUGUAGAGAGCAAAUCAAAAGAGACAUCAAAUGAGGAGUCUUCCAAUAUGAAAAGCAAGUCAACAGAAAUAUCACUGGAGGAGCCUUCAAACGAACAAAAUGAGGACUCUAGAGCCCUGCACUGACCAUGAAUGAAACUCCACAGAGUCUGAAUUCAAUGUGAACACAAGAAGACCUCAUUCAGAAUCUACCAGAUGUUAACAAUUGUACUGUACUCACUCAUGUCCAAGACUGAGGGGCCUGGAGCUCCUGACUGUAAAUUUUGUUGU